CAACCCUGUGACAUACCUAUAACGUUGCCUCGGCGGGAACAGACGGCCCCGUAACACGGGCCGCCCCCGCCAGAGGACCCCCUAACUCUGUUUCUAUAAUGUUUCUUCUGAGUAAACAAGCAAAUAAAUUAAAACUUUCAACAACGGAUCUCUUGGCUCUGGCAUCGAUGAAGAACGCAGCGAAAUGCGAUAAGUAAUGUGAAUUGCAGAAUUCAGUGAAUCAUCGAAUCUUUGAACGCACAUUGCGCCCGCCAGUAUUCUGGCGGGCAUGCCUGUUCGAGCGUCAUUACAACCCUCAGGCCCCCGGGCCUGGCGUUGGGGAUCGGCGGAAGCCCCCUGCGGGCACAACGCCGUCCCCCAAAUACAGUGGCGGUCCCGCCGCAGCUUCCAUUGCGUAGUAGCUAACACCUCGCAACUGGAGAGCGGCGCGGCCACGCCGUAAAACACCCAACUUCUGAAUGUUGACCUCGAAUCAGGUAGGAAUACCCGCUGAACUUAAGC
rnacentral:rRNA from 2 species